rnacentral:tRNA from 1 species
GGGGGUCUAGCUCAAAUGGUAGAGCGCGCGCUUCGCAUGCGUGAGGCAGGGGGAUCGAUACCCCCGUCCUCCA